rnacentral:rRNA from 1 species
UACGAAGGGGGCUAGCGUUGCUCGGAAUCACUGGGCGUAAAGGGUGCGUAGGCGGGUCUUUAAGUCAGGGGUGAAAUCCUGGAGCUCAACUCCAGAACUGCCCUUGAUACUGAGGAUCUUGAGUUCGGGAGAGGUGAGUGGAACUGCGAGUGUAGAGGUGAAAUUCGUAGAUAUGUGGAGGAACACCGGUGGCGAAGGCGGCCUGCUGGGACAGUGCUGACGCUGAGGCGCGACAGCGUGGGGAGCAAACAGG